CUUUCAGGAUUGUUCAGUUUCAUGCUAAGAAAAAAAAUAGGUCUGAGGGGAACCACUUCUUUGGCGUGUUGUUCCAGUAGUUCAUGAUGAUGGUGGGUAUCAGUUUUUGUUAUCACUGAUCUUCCCAAACUGAAGCUUAGAGAGAUCAAAAUGUUACAUGCUGUAGGGCCAGGAGUGAACUAAACUCGUCCGACAGUGUUCUACGGUUCGCCGCAACUUCGUAGGCCGGUUUUCCACUUGAUGUAUGUAGACAAGGAGGAUUGAAAUCAUGGUAUUUGGUUCUCUGCAAUCUACAGUAAUAUGUCUUUGGCCUUAUUUUCCUACUGCUGGUUGUGAUUGUGGUACAUAACACUCUGAUGUUGAAAGGGUGGAUCAGGUCAUGGAGUAGCUAUGCCCCCAUCGAGUAGCUUAUGCAUCCUAUAUUUAGCUUUUCAAGAUUAUUAGAUGUUUUAUGUCAAGAUGAAUACAUGGAUAGUCCACUAUUUGCAGUAUUGUUAUAAUUGCUCCCUGUUUCCGAUAAAAUGAUUUCUUUUGUUCAUUAGUGUUACAAUAUUAUAAUGCAAUGGUUGUUAUAAUAUGGGGAACUGGUUAAUUAUAAGAGACUGUCACAUAUGAGGAUGAAAGCGUGGAUCAGCUCCUGUAGUAGUUAUCUUUGAUUUACGACCGAGUUUACUUAUGGUUAUAGGAUGGAACUUUGUAUUAUUUUGCCAUCUUCUUUCCUUUUUGAAAAUAGCUACAGCAACUGGCAGUUUAAGUUGGUGCGAGCAAGUAAAUAACGCAAUUUUCUUAAUAACUUUUGCCGCGCAUAUUGUAACUGUAAGCCGCAAUUCAGGUUCAAGGUAACUCUCUAUGUAAUUCCAGAGCAGAGGUUUAUAAGGCAACUCUCUAUGAAACAGAUGUUUUGUGAACGAGCAGAUUUGAUGUUCGAUUUGCAUAAACAUGGGAAAUUCGUAGUUAUUUACUAUUCCAAUUUGAAGCUAAUAUGGUAUUUGAUUCAUGCACAGGGCUGAAGGUUUUACUCGAAGUCGUGUUAUAUUAGAGUUAGCGCCUAAAAAAAUGUCAGUGUAUCUCCUGGAGGAGGAGGUGGGAGAGAUGUAGCAGGUAGAAGAUGGACCGUGGAUAAGAAAGAGGAAGGGAUAAAGUGUCAAUCAGCAAUGAAAACUUUAGUAUUUGUGAUGUAAAUUUGAAUGCUAAAGUUUGAAUUUUUUCCUUGGUCUUAAUUUCUUUCUUUCAAAUGCAAGUGGAUUAAUCUGCAUAAAAUUUAAUACUAUGUUGUAUUCAGCUUUAUUUAGAUUUACCUUCCACUCAUAGGUUGGAGUCUAGAGUUUAUGCAUACCGUUGCAUGAGUAUUGUUGCAUCAUGGUCAAUUCUCUUGGACAGAUAGCUGAGGCCAUUGCAUAAUUUCAGAGGUACUUAUAAAUAUAAAAUGGCUUUCUUUAGCAAAAAUUCCAAAGUUAUGAUGUUUAUUUUGAUAACCUCGACAAUGUCAAGUACAUAGAAUUGGAAUGGAGCCGAGCAACCCUGGUUCAUUGUAACUGAUGUUUGCUUCACAUCGAAUCAUUGAAGGAGUAUGAUGCUGCUUUGGAAGGAGGCUUUUCUCAAUCUGUGCUACUUUCAGGGCGAGGCUGGGCCACGUCCACACUAUUGUCGCUCGCCUGCCUGGGCCUGGGACGUGUUAUUGAAGCCUUCACCAUGCUACAGAGGACAGUCCUGAAGCUCAGGUUUUUAUGCUCUAACUAUGUAUUGAAAGUGUCAAGGCAAGGUCAACCUAAUGAUAUGUUCGUGGAGUCAUAAUUUUUUCGUUUCUUUCUAUUAGUGUUAGAAGACAAGUUGGCUUCGUAUAUUGGUGAAAUCUCAACCCAUGUUCUUCAGUUGGCUUCAUAUAUUGGUGAAAUAUCAACCCAUGUUCUUCAGUUUGCAUUAAGUGCAGACAACCUACUGUUGUUUAUUUACCUUGCCUUGAGUACAGAUUCUACUUUGGCUGCAGGAUGUUGACGCUUCGCUUGCUUCUGAUAAGAAUGCUUGGAAAGCUGUGAUGAAAAAUGGAAAACUUCUGUAGUUUUACAAGACAAGUAAGCGCCUAUGACUUGCAGUCAUCUCCUUUCCUAUCCAGCACAACGCAAGUGCGCAUGACAGCUAGCACAGCAAACACCCACCAAGCAAGCACACGUACGCAGCAGUAGCAUGUAGCAAGCUAUCACACACGCGCCCGACACAACAGCCGACUCGGCAAAAGCACCCUGCUGGACUGGACGACCACGGCGUGUGUGGGCUGAGGCCUCGCCGAAGGAGCGGCGCUUGCGGUGUCUGCAUGUUCGGCCUUGCUGCACUCCAGAAUAGUCACAUCACGGCGCGCUGCAGUAGGGCACGAUUCUGUAAGAGGUAAAUAGGGGUUUGGGGCGCUAUUGUCCAAGAUUGUGCUAUCAAGGAUUGUGGAUCUUAACUAAUUAGACUAUUCAUUUGUAAUCUUAAUCUAUAAAAAGAAAGUAAGGUUGUAUUGUAUUUAGCACUCUUGUGAUAAGAAUGCUUUUUUGUUGUUGUUCUUAUUAAAACAUUGGCGUGCAGCAGCCAUAGAUAAUGUGAUUACUAUAUGCUUUAGUUCAAAACUUUAUGCUGUUGUCCAUUGUCGUCACUUACAGAGGUAUGAUGCAUAUAAUUUAUUUGCAUGUUUCAUAAAAACUGUUGUUGUUGAUAUAUCUAUAUGCAUGUCAAUACCAACAAGCUAUAGCUACCCUUGUGAGGAGGAGUAACCAAAGUUUUUUUUUUGCAGGGAGGAGUAACCAAAGUUGUCAAAACCCGGGACCGAAUUGAUCGGUUGAGUUAGAACCGAAUGCCCAUGCCUAUCUAUAUAUAACACUUCGGUUCAUGUGUCUCCAUCCACACCUCACGACCCGCGCAUGGUCGGUUGUGGCUGUUGCCACUGCGUGUCUCUGACAUGGACUUGCUCCGGUCCGGCUCCACCAUGCUGGAUGUCGUGAAGGCUGUAGUCCAGGAGUUGGGGACGGGCCCCUAUUUCAACUUCAGCAUGGCUCUCCAUUAGCAAUAUAUUCGAAGUGCCAAGGUUGCAAAAGCAAUAUCCGUGGCAAUGAUGUGUUUCUUGUGAUUUGAGAUGCGUAUUUUCUGCCUUAUUGCUUUUUCCUAUGUAUGUGAUUGAUUGGGUUAGAUCUAUAUAGUGUCUUGCUAUUGCUAUAGAGAAGUUAUAAUAGUUCUUCACCAUGAUUUGUAUUUGACCAUAACAAUCGUAAGACAGCUAUGAAUGCUUGACAUUUUGUCCUGAACAAAUGCGGCUAUUAGUUUGUAUUUCAUCUAAGUGCAGUGCAACCAAUUGAAGUUAUUUUGGAAGAACAUGCAUCUGAUUAUCUUUGGUUUUUCUAUAGUCUGUAGUAGAGUUAAGAUUGUACAUUUUGUGAACCAUUCUGUUUUAGCCUCUCUUUCUAUACAUUCUAUAAG
rnacentral:lncRNA from 1 species